AAUUGUACCUGCGAGUAGUAAAGCUAUGUUAGACAAAUGUGCAAAAGUAAAACCAACAACAAAUGGCUAAUGUAGAUUUUAUCUCCAGGAAAAUUAACCUCAAAAAAAAGUUUUCUAUGCUCAAGUGCAUAGUACAAGGACACAGAAAAUAGAAAGAUAGAUAUAACUAUUGAAACAAAAUGAGAUAAUAUAGCCAGACUUAUACAAGGAUUUAUAGCAAAAUAAGAAAGUUGGAGGAAGUGUCGAAAAGCAUAAAAUGCUAAGCGCAAAGAGAAGAUGCAUAAAUAUAUAGAUUUUCGUCUGAUUAUUGCU